CAACCCAAGAGGGGCGUUUAGUCGUAGCGGACUGGAAUUGGCUGCGACCUGCAUUAGACGUAGCGGAACUAGACAUCAAGUCUGCGAGGUGGUCCCUUAAGGUCGCUUGGCCUCGAGUGGUUUGUUUGUUUGUUUGUUUUUUACUGCGUGCCCAAUCGCUCCUAUUCCCUCAGCUCCCAGCAACCCCAGUUCAACCGUUUUCCCCUGGCUGUAGCGCUAGCGGCCUGUCGAAAGCAGUCCUCACUGGUGGGACCUGGGCCUCUCCACCCUGCUGUGUACACGCUUACCAGCGGGGGUCUUGUCUGACGACCCCUGGCUUCCUUUCUUGGUCUUUGCAUACGCUCCCUAAGUGCCGCGGCCGUCCCCGGAGCCUUUCCGGUUGCCUUAGUGCGCACGCGCCCCUUGGGUCUGGGCUUUGCCGACCGUCCCUAGGCUUCUGUCGCUCGCCACCUCCCGUUGGUUUAUGAGUAACUAGGGUGAGUCCAAGGCCAACCCUACCUUGUCUGGGAUGGUUUCCUAGGCCAGAGAGGCGGGCGAUGUCGGCCUUGGCCCAGAGGUGGGCCAUCGCGAGGACACCUCAGCUCCCGGGGCGAGCAUGUGACAGGUUCUGUGUCAGGUUUCCUGGUCUCUAGGCCGGAGACCCCAACAUUUUCUCCCGAUCCACGCAGGUUGUCACUGCCUUAAAAUUCUUAACUGUAAACAAGCGCCCAGCAUUUUGUUCUUUGGCUGGUCUCCAUUAAUUAUGUGGACAGGUAUUUCAAACAUACACGGAACUUUCAGGAUUCCUAGGUAUUUGGGUUAUUUGGCCUGGAAAGUCUGUAAUAAUUUUAGUAUUUUUCCUUCCUUAUUACUCUUCUAGUUCUUACAAGUUCUGUAGAUAUUUUUUAACUGAUUACUUGAGGUUAUUUUCACAGUGGCUGUUUUUCCACAUUUCAGACUUCUUCCACUCCUUGAUCUGCUCAAGUCUACUCUUAAAAGUAUUUCGUUCUUAAGAGCUGACUGUUUUUUCGUUUUUUUAUUACUUCAAAUACAGACUUCCCAACCUGAUUGUCUUUUUACUUCAUUCGAAAAUUUUGUCUGCCAAUCAAAUGUGCCUAGAAGUGCCUUAUUUCUACUGGUACACCCUUUCAGAAUGUCUAAUCUGAGAGAUGCUUUAUCUUUUUAACCAGUCCUAGCCAGCCCUCAUAGCCCUAAACUGUGACCUAGUGAUACUGCUAUCUGUAAUCAAACUUGGACCUACAUAAAAAUGUAUGUUCUGCUUAACAAUCACUGAUAAUAGUGGGAUACUGGAAAUAAAAGAAAUCCAAAUAUA
rnacentral:lncRNA from 1 species